rnacentral:lncRNA from 1 species
CGGACAUUAGAAUUCAUCGAUAUGUAACCCUGAUCGAAGAGUCCCAAACCAGUGGGACUCUUGACCCCGGUACCCAAAAUAUGUGGGACUCAUGAUCAGAGAAUCCUGAUUCUCGAUCACAGAGUCUCAAAUAUGUAGGACUCAUAGUCCAUGAGCAUUAGGACUCUUCAUCAGCCAUCAGAUCAGAUAGGAACCUCUAAUGUGUGUGACCCC